GUUCUUCAGAGAAGAGACGUCUUGGAAUUGUUACAAGCCGCAUCAAGACAGAUAUCAGAUGGAGAACAUGCUGGAGUGUGCAAUCAUAGUCUUGUGGCUUCAGCUUGGCUGGCUGAGCGGAGAAGACCAGGUGGAGCAGAGUCCUCAGACCCUGAGGGUCCAGGAGGGAGACAGUGUCAGUCUCACCUGCAGUUACACAGUCAGUGGUUUUAGAGGGCUCCAGUGGUACCGGCAGGAUCCUGGGAAAGGCCCCAGACACCUCUUCCUCCUGUACUCAGUUGGGAAGGGAGAUCAGAAGGGAAGACUAAGCGUCUCACUAUCACAGAAGGAAAGUUCUCUGAACAUCACAGCCCCUAAAGCUGAAGACUCAGCCACCUACCUCUGCGCGGUGGAGCCACAGUGCUCCCCGGGCACCUGCAGCCUGCACCAAAACCCUGCAGCGGGACCCUGGCAUAAGGGCUGUUGGUUGUUUCCCUCCUCGAUGAGGUAUUUACUUAGCACUCAGAACCGCUUUCCAAGUGGUCCUGUGGAGAAUGAAGUCUGUGACACGGCCGGGUGGCAGAGACUACUGUUCAUUCUGCCCAGGCAUCCUGGGCCCCUCUGCCUGCUCAUAGGUCAGUCUGCUUUUCAUAGCGGCCCAGAGCGCCCUUCACCGGGACGGAGAUGGCGUAGCUGUGAUAUGGACAGUCUUGGUUUCUGGACUUGGGCCACUUGA